UACGAAGGGGGCUAGCGUUGCUCGGAAUCACUGGGCGUAAAGGGUGCGUAGGCGGGUCUUUUAAGUCAGGGGUGAAAUCCUGGAGCUCAACUCCAGAACUGCCUUCGAUACUGGCGAUCUCGAGUUCGGGAGAGGUGAGUGGAACUGCGAGUGUAGAGGUGAAAUUCGUAGAUAUUCGCAAGAACACCAGUGGCGAAGGCGGCUCACUGGCCCGAUACUGACGCUGAGGUGCGAAAGCGUGGGGAGCAAACAGGG
rnacentral:rRNA from 1 species